GUUUGCCUCUGAUUAAAUAUUCCCCUGCAAUGCUAAAAUUAAUGUUUUUAUAUGUGUACCAUUUUUUAAGUUGAUAAUCUGCAUUGCUCUCAGUGGUGGAACUAAAAUAGAAAUUGGCCUGGUCCAAAUAUUAUUUUGAGACCCCCCCUAUCGCAAGGAUGGAAAAAAGGUACAACUCCCACAAUGCUUUGCCAGCUGGGCAUCUACCAUUUGUCCAUCGUUGCAGGGUUGUACUUAGCACUGGGUAUGUUUAUCUGUGAGCAUGUUUUUGAAUGCAGUAUGUGUGUGAAUGUAGGGGUGUAUUUGUGUGUAGUGUGUUAUGUACUGUUACCAUUUUAAAGCAGUGGUUUAUUUGUGUGUUGUAUUUGCUUUUGAAUGUGU